rfam:Streptomyces sp. NRRL F-5122 P360contig277.1, whole genome shotgun sequence.
UUCGGUGGUCAUAGCGUGAGGGAAACGCCCGGUUACAUUCCGAACCCGGAAGCUAAGCCUUUCAGCGCCGAUGGUACUGCAGGGGGGACCCUGUGGG